rnacentral:rRNA from 1 species
GAUGACGCUGGCGGCGUGCUUAACACAUGCAAGUCGAACGGUGAAGCAGAGCUUGCUCUGUGGAUCAGUGGCGAACGGGUGAGUAACACGUGAGCAAUCUGCCCCUGACUCUGGGAUAAGCGCUGGAAACGGCGUCUAAUACCGGAUACGAGCUGCGAUCGCAUGGUCAGUAGCUGGAAAGAACUUCGGUCAGGGAUGAGCUCGCGGCCUAUCAGCUUGUUGGUGAGGUAAUGGCUCACCAAGGCGUCGACGGGUAGCCGGCCUGAGAGGGUGACCGGCCACACUGGGACUGAGACACGGCCCAGACUCCUACGGGAGGCAGCAGUGGGGAAUAUUGCACAAUGGGCGAAAGCCUGAUGCAGCAACGCCGCGUGAGGGAUGACGGCCUUCGGGUUGUAAACCUCUUUUAGCAGGGAAGAAGCGAAAGUGACGGUACCUGCAGAAAAAGCGCCGGCUAACUACGUGCCAGCAGCCGCGGUANAUACGA